GGGGAAUUUUGGACAAUGGGCGCAAGCCUGAUCCAGCCAUUCCGCGUGCAGGACGAAGGCCCUCGGGUUGUAAACUGCUUUUGUACGGAACGAAAAGCCUUGGGCUAAUACCCCGAGGUCAUGACGGUACCGUAAGAAUAAGCACCGGCUAACUACGUGCCAGCAGCCGCGGUAAUACGUAGGGUGCAAGCGUUAAUCGGAAUUACUGGGCGUAAAGCGUGCGCAGGCGGUCUUGUAAGACAGAGGUGAAAUCCCCGGGCUCAACCUGGGAACUGCCUUUGUGACUGCAAGGCUGGAGUGCGGCAGAGGGGGAUGGAAUUCCGCGUGUAGCAGUGAAAUGCGUAGAUAUGCGGAGGAACACCGAUGGCGAAGGCAAUCCCCUGGGCCUGCACUGACGCUCAUGCACGAAAGCGUGGGGAGCAAACAGGA
rnacentral:rRNA from 1 species